UUACAUUUAUUGUAGUUAUUUUGGAAAAAGGACUGUAAUAAGAAUGUUGGUUAUGACCAUUUGAGUCUUUGUUUGAAUACCUCAACAUUUCUUUCCUACAGAGCAUCACAGCCAGAAGGGGCUUGAAAAAAGGAACAAGACUUUACCGAAGAAUUGCCCCUACCAUAUUGGUCGUGACUCCUUCGAAAUAAGGAGUUACGGGAAGGAGAGGAUGAGAAAGGGCAUUAAAGAAGUCCUUGUUGAUUGGCAGCCUUGCCCAGUUUGUGGGAAGGAGUGGGCCAGGUCCUGGCAGCCAAAAGAUUUGAAUUAGUCCCCCUGCCCUCUUCAAAUAAAAACAUAUUUUCAGUCUUUCUAGAAUGUGGUGCUACUCCUGAUACAUGAUUGCCCUGCC